rnacentral:rRNA from 1 species
AGAAUGGGGUGAAGUCGUAACAAGGUAGCCGUAGGAGAACCUGCGGCUGGAUCACCUCCUUUCUAAGGAGA